rnacentral:rRNA from 1 species
UUCCGUAGGUGAACCUGCGGAAGGAUCAUUAACCUUUCAAAUCAGGGUGCGUCGCGGCCCCCGAGGAGCGGAAACAAUCCUUGGGAGGUUUGCGGAGUCUUCGGACCCCUUAACGCACGCACGACUGCCAUCCUUACUUUACGAGCACCUUCUGUUCUCCCUCGGCGGGGCAACCUGCCGUUGGAACCGAAUAAACUCUUUUUGCAUCUAGCAUUACCUGUUCCGAAACAAACAAUCGUUACAACUUUCAACAAUGGAUCUCUUGGCUCUGGCAUCGAUGAAGAACGCAGC